GUUACCUUCAUAAUGUAAAUAAUUGGAAACCUACUGAAGAAUAUUUUAUUUGGAAUUGCAUUCAAUUGUACCCUGGUGCUUUGCUGUGCUGCAUUCAUUGUAUUACCUUAUAUUGAAGAAAAGGCCAGUGAAUUCCUUUUAUUCCACAUGUCCAUACACCAAGGAGACGCGCACGUAUUUUCCAAUUUUCCUAAUACAGUCCACCCAUUAGUUACUGAGCUAUGCCCGUUGUAAUAGCUCGUGCCUAGCUGGAUCGAUGCCGCGUGAAGAGCGGACAUGCUUUGUUUUGUCAGCGAACACACAUGGUGGUGGUCAGCUAAUGUCUCUAGAUUCAGCUCUCAGUCAGAUGGAGUAGCAGCAGCUAUCACUGUAGACCAAACAAGAACAUUGCUUGUGUGGUUGUGCAUCAAAGGAAAACGUUAAAUGCAAAAUUCCAAAUCGCAUAGGCAUGAACCCAUUGAACUGUGCAUACAAAAUGUUAAUGUGUAGAGUAAAAUGGUGCAGGUUAAGGGCAUUAAAGAUCCAUUUUGCCAAAUUAAUUGAACAGGCUAAUGGCUAAAACGGAAUAAAAAAAGGUUUUUGAAGGUUGAAUUUGUGUUGAAAUAAUGUUCAGAUUAUCCUCAUGCACUUAGUACACUAUCACAGAGUAAUUUAAUCAUCUGAUGCAUGUCCUUAUCUUGUCCCCUCCCCCUUCUCCCUUCUUUUUCUAGCUGUUCGUGCAAGAGCAUUUUUAAGUGAACUUGGUGCACGCAUCACAGGGACCCAAGUGGUUGAACAGCACAGAAAACAGUGAGUUUUGAGUACAAAAUGUAAAAUUCAAAUUUUUGUGCAGAGUAAAGGUGUGAAAGCCCCAUAUUUAAAAAAAGGCUUCACCUAUCUGCAGACGGGCUGAACUUGGGCUGGGCAUUAGCUUAGCGUGAUGGAAGCCCAAGACAACAUUUUUUGGAGAUAUUAACACAUUAAAGGCUGACUUAAAGGGCAAAAUGACUUAUUUUGAGGCAUUGCUUAAAACGGUAGUUUCAUGUUUUGAUAUGUCUGUGAUGGUAUGUUAUAGAGCUUGUCUCUUUCUAACCCAUGCACAAUUUAUUAUAGGAUAUUCUGGUGCCUUUUGAAAUGGCUUAAUGCAAAACUAUGGUUUUGAACUGUUUAUGUGUUUCAUGUUUUAAUGAUGUUCACUUACUGCCCUCAUAUGUCUAGAUAAUACAAGGUGUGGACCUAAGAUCUGAUGUGUGGGUCUCUCUUGUGUUUUCUUCUUUCUCUAGUUGUUUGAGCAGUGAAAGUGUGAUUCAAAGCAGAUGAUUUUAACAGCACCACGAGACAAACAGUUCAGCGGCACAGAGAACAGUGUUCAUGCAAGAUCCUUUGUAAGUGAACUUGGCGCACGUGGCAUUCAACACAGCUGAGUGGGAUACCAAGCAUAAAACGGCACAGAAAAUAGACGCUGAUGAAGAACGGAUGUCCGAGGACCUUGCUGCUCAAAAAAUGAAGAUCUACAGCAUCAUGUCCAGCUCAGCAGAGGGGCCGAGCGAUGUUGGUGUCGUCAUUGAGGGAGUGAAAGUUCUCACCACUCUGGGUACCUUUGCCAGGGCUUGCUGCAUGCUCCUCGGGCUGACUUAUGCACUAAAUCUGGCCUACCCUAAGGAGCUCAGAUAUACAUUUGAAAUCUUCCAGAAGCUCCUUCUGGAGCUGGACUGUUCGAAGCAGUCCCCAAAGCUGCACACUUUGAAGAGUAAGUUGUUGGACUAAGGAAAUGCCGAACUGGACACUUGAGCUGAGGCGAUGCAAUGGACACUUGACUUCAGUUUUUCAGAACUUAAUGACUUAAAGAUUUACCUUUUAAUUUCUCCAAACACUACUUUUUCAAGCAGGUUGACACGCACAAAAAAGUCAAAUGUGUUAUGCCAUCAUCGGUUGAUUUGUUGAUAUCUGAUGUGUCUGUAGAUGUGUUUGAAGCUGUGAACGAAGCAUUAAGUUAUAUCUACUGUGCCGUUAGCAAACUUAUGCUAAGACCGUGCGAUGGACACUUGAGCUGAGACAGUGCAAUGGACACUUGAGCUGAGGCAGUGCGAUGGACAGUGCAAUGGACACUUGAGCUGAGGCAGUGCAAUGGACACUUGAGCUGAGGCAGUGCGAUGGACAGUGCAAUGGACACUUGAGCUGAGACAGUGCAAUGGACACUUGAGCUGAGACAGUGCAAUGGACACUUGAGCUGAAGCAGUGCGAUGGACAGUGCAAUGGACACUUGAGCUGAAGCAGUGCGAUGGACAGUGCAAUGGACACUUAAGCUGAGACUGUG